rnacentral:rRNA from 1 species
UACGUAGGGUGCAAGCGUUUAAUCGGAAUUACUGGGCGUAAAGCGUGCGCAGGCGGUUUUGUAAGUCUGUCGUGAAAUCCCCCGGGCUUAACCUGGGAAUUGCGAUGGAGACUGCAAGGCUGGAGUCUGGCAGAGGGGGGGUAGAAUUCCACGUGUAGCAGUGAAAUGCGUAGAGAUGCGGAGGAACACCGAUGGCGAAGGCAGCCCCCUGGGCCAAUACUGACGCUCAGGCACGAAAGCGUGGGGAGCAAAAGGGG